UCUCUCUCUCUCUCUCUCUCUCUCUCUCUCUCCCCUCACCCCCCUCCCCCUCUCUCCUCCCCCUUCUCCCCCAUCCCCUGCAAUCCGCACUCGACGCGAGUUCACGCGCAGGGCUGGAUUUCCAAGCUGCACUGCAACUUCUCAGCGCUUUAUUAUUAUUCAUCUGAGGGUGCAGCCUCUGCAACCUUCGCCUCCUGCGCUAGCAUCCUUCCCCCCUGGCCGCGGCCACCAGCAGUGCGGUCUCUUCUGCACGCAGGCUCUGGUUCAGUACAGGAGGAUUCUGGUUUGGGUUUUUUUGUUUUGUUGUUUUUAUUUUUUAAAUUCUCGUCGGAGCCAUUACCACGAUGUCGGGUUUUAUCCUUAGCUUUUCCUCCGGCCAGGUGGCGCGACCACCAGCGCCUGCUCGCAGCUCUUCCUUUCCCCCACCCAAGACAAGGAAGCAAUUGGGGCUUGGCCAGAGAGGCCGCUUCUCUGCUUGCGGGGCUGCCCUAGCCUCCGCAACAAUCCCGCAUUCAUCUGCAUGUAUAUGUAUUAUUCCCAUUCUUUUUUAUUCCAGUAGAUCCUGCCUUUGGUUUGGACUGGCUGAAACACUACGGACUGCAACCCAUGUCUUUUAAAGGAGAACAAAAAGAUGAGGAUCUUGUGCGGACUCCGGGACAAAGCGUCUUGGGCUCGGUGACAAGGGACGCACGGAACUCUGGCUCCGGGAUUGGAGAGAUCAACGCAGCCCAAGGGCACCCCGCAGGGCCUGCGGACCUCUCAGGCGAGAGGACCGCAGCAGGAGAGUUCCGGAAGGCUGAUUCCCACAGAUCCUGGUGAGGGGCCGCUGCAGCUCAGCCCUGCGGCACGCCCGGUCGGGCUGCACCAGGACUCGACAUUCGAGGAAAAAGCUUGGAAACGAAAGGAUGCGGGAGAACAAAGAGCCUUCGGAGGACGUGGCUGUUAUCUCAUUGUCUGUGACUGGGGGAGCUGCGGAGAAAGGCCUCUCUCUCCGUGUUCACAGCGGACCUUGAUUUAAAUGUCCAUACAAUUAAGGCACGCGGUGAAUGCCAAGAAUGGGGCUGUCUGAGCACCUUGGGUCCUCGAGGGCCCGCCACCACGGAAGGAUCGACCCAGCCCAACGCCCUGGGCAGAUCUCAGCGCUGCAGCUGCAGGCGCCACAGGAGGGGCAGUGAGCUGCUGAAUGCCUCACACCGCAGCCUUUAGGGUGGGGAUGUGUGCGGCUACCGACAAAGAGGGGCUUGUGCAGAUGCAAACAGAAUCUAGAAAAGAAACAACCCAUUCUGUGACAGAAACACGGAUCUGUGCAAGCGGGUGGUAGUAGGAGUGGGAGACAGUCUGGGAGCUGUUGGAGAAUGAAGAGUGCGAGUUAGCAUCUGGGACCCUGCCCAUUGUACAAGGUCGACACCUUCCUCCGUAUCUCUUUUUGUCCUGGGCUUUCAGUUUGCCCUUAAACAAAUAAUCUGGUACCCAUGCGCCGGGCAGACUGCCCCCCAGAGCCUGGACUGCAGCUACAUUGAAUUGUUCUGCUUGGGGUUGGUCGGGUAGUCUUUAGAGGAAGCUGUUUGUCACACUUUGGUGGAGAGCUGUAGGCAUUUGACAAGCUUAAGCAGAUCUCUGGGAUGAAGGCAACCAGCAAAUUGGCUCAUGAACAGCGCACAGACUCCAUCAAAGCUGACAGCUAGCCCACGGCUCCGAGGAGGGCCUCCCAGCGCUCUUAGGGCUCUGACUGAAGUUUCAGGCAAAGAUCCAAAACUGCAGGAGAGGCGAGGGACCCCCCCCCCUCAAAGGGAGGGCUGCUCCGUUGCUCUUAAAACCGGGACAGAAGGAAAAACAGCAUGUGCACAGGUCGGGGUCUGAGGAAAGUCUGUUUUGAAGCGGGCUGUCCAGGAACAGAAAGGGUUAAGCCUCCCUCAUCCUGAAGCACCUGCUUCCCAAAUCAGCCCCCAGCAGCAGCUGGUCCUGGAGACCCCCGACACAGUUCCAUUCCAUCUCCAUCUCAGUGUUCCCCCCCUCCCCGCCAACCUGCAGUGGGAGGGUGGUGGCCUGGUGACCGACCUAAACUCAUUAAUUUCCAGGUGGAGAAAAUAGAGGCACGGCAGGCAGGUCCCAGCAGCAGAGGGAGGGAAAGGAGGCCAAGAGCUGGCCUUCCCACCCAGGGAGCAGGCGGUGGCCCUUCCCCCUGCUGUCCUGACAGAGGCCUGCCUUUGCAAGGCCAAGCCCAUAAAGGAUGUUUAGGAGUUUAAUCUGAUUCUUAACACAGUAAUCAGAGUCUAAAAGAGCAUCCAUUGGAGUUAAUGGAGGACUCUUUUCUCCAAAGCCUCUACCUCCUCUAGUCUAGUAAAUUAGUAUUCGAGGGUAUCAUGGAUCCGUACCUCUCUGGCCUAGCUCCCUCACGAGUAUUUAUUAUUUCUUGAGUAUCUACUAUGUGUCCAUCUUUGUGAUGAGCUCAUCUUAACUGCUAAAUUUCAUCACAGAAGGGAGUGUUAGAGCUAGCCAGCGUUAGCCCUAGCUAGACUGAGGGUGAAUGCGCCCCACUCUGCCUAGGCUUUCCCAGAACCUUCUCUUCUCUGCAGAAAUGAGCCACAGCCCGCUCACUCUUGCAGGGGGAAAGCUGUAGUGCAUACAUCAUGAGGGCCACAGGGAUUUCGAUGAUUGAGUCCUAUAGAGCACACGAGGGUACCAGGAAGGGAACGCCUUAGCAAUGGCCGUCCUAAGAGAUGCCGUAGCCAUUGCCUUCAAAAUCUACCUCCCUUGAAAUGAGAACUGACCCUGUCCUGGGACACUCCCACCCUUUAUAAAUAUGUUAGAAGAGAGAAGACUGUGUACUGUACCAUUUUGGGGGUGUGCCCAUUGCCCCCCUCCAUGCCCCAUGAGAUGUUCUUUUGCCUUCCAGCAAUGGCCUAAGCUGCUGACGGCCCAACCCCUGUACCACAAACGUCCCCAUUAGCAAUCCUCGGCUCAGUAAUUGCUUCCCCAUGAUUCCUUCAAAUGUCCCCUCGUCCUUCACUGAUACUUCAUCUUACAUAACCUCCAGAUGCCUCCCCAAGUAAGGUCCUUUAAGAUAAGAAACCCAAUACGCUUUUUCUCUGCGAGCUCCAACCGCAGGCACCUUCCGGAAGGCCUGCCUGGGAUCUGCUACGUAGGAACGGUGCUGCUGGGAGGGGUGGGUUUUUAUUUUAUUGCUUACAGAUACUCUUGUUCCAGAAGGCAUUAGUGUGGGGGGGUGUUCUGGGCUGGCCGGUCUGUGCCACCCAGUGUGAGUAUGUUAUGUGUCCACCAGGUCUCCUUCCCAGAAGGGGUUUGUGUGGGGGACUCGAAUGGCCUUCUCAGCCCAGGUAUAAUUGCAACCCCCCCCCCUUUCGUUUUUCACCAAAUGAAGAACCAGAGCCAAGGUCAGCCUGAGCUGCCGCCUUCCUUCCUCUGCGUUUUCUGACCUUUUAUGCCCAUCAGUCAUUAUGCAGAGAAGCUGAAGCCUUCUGCUCUCCCAAGGCGUCUCUUGAAUUUUCAAGAUCACCUCCCCUGCCUAUUUGCGCCUUCUAAUUACAUAGUAUGGCUAAAAUGAAAGGAGACAUUCGUGAUCUAACCAUAGGAGGAGGCUGACAUAGUUUGAUGACUGAAUACGCGUUCUUAGUCCCUUGGGUUUGUUCAGAUCCACUAUGGUCUCAGUCCCCAUGGCAUACAAGCUCUUGUGUCUCUUAAGGAACCCAGUACUUGGAAUAGAUUUAGGAAUGUCUCAAAGGACUAAUGAUUAAUAUGUUUUUCUCCCCUGCCAGAGACAGCCCAGAUCUGUCUCAGUGGAAAGGAAUUGAUUCUUUAACAGAUGCAAUGGUAAAUUCUAUAAAUUUCUUCUGUGUGUGUGUGGGGGGGGGGGAGGGAGGUUACACAAGGAACUUUGAUCAGAUAAUUAAUGUGUGGGGAGGGGCAUGUCCCCAGUGCCUCCGUGCACACAUAUUAAGCCAUAGAUUUUCUCACACAACCAUAUCCAUCAAUAAUGUGGAAGGCAUUUGGCCACAAAAGAAAAUGCGCCCAUCCACACCACCUUUAUAAGGAAAUUUUCUCUCCCACUAUUGAACUUAUGUAACACCCACCCCCAUCCGAACCUUAGAGUGCCGCCUGGGGGCAGCUGCAGAAAUCCUGCCUGGGACAGAUGGAGCCUCCCCUUCCUCAGCUACUCUGUGGGUGGUUUUUGAGCCCAUGAGUCAACAUGGGCAGACUGUAGUGUGUGCUGGUGGUGUGUGUGUAUUUGAGGCUUGGCGGGCUGAUUCACAAUGAUGAGGAUAUUAACAGCAAUGCUGAGAAUUAUGGUACCUAAUAAAGAUUUUUUUUUUCUUUCGA